rnacentral:lncRNA from 1 species
GUCCUUUAAUUAUUCCUUUUAGUAUUCAUCUUCUCCUUUUGCUUUGCCAUCAUGCCCUCCUUAGUGUUAAUGCACUUGUUGGCACGGGCUGGUAGUCAUAGGGGAACCUCAUGGAGAAGAAGAAGCUAUAGGCCAUUAGCUCUAUUUUGAGGACUAACAUUAUGAUCAAAUGGUUCAAGUCGCAGAUCUCGAACAUAGCCAUGUUGAAGUUGGUGAUAUAGUAU